AUAGCCAUAUCAAUAUUGAGGAUGAACUCUUUCCAACGGCCACACAUGGCCUCCUUUAGCUUCAACUCCCUCCAACAAAAUCACCACCUCUUCUCUGUUACUCUCUGUAAGUACCCGUCGACUCUGAUUGGUCUCAAAUCUCAUUACUCUUCUUGUUUUUUCACUUCCUCACCUUCCAAACACACACUUGAACUUGCUCCACUUCUCGUAGUUAAAGGUAAUGUUAGCAACACUAUUACGAAGUCGUCUACCACAGACCAUAACCCAUCUACAGAAACCAAGAAUUCAAAAACUAGAAAAGAAACGGGUCCUGGAUUUCCUACUUUAAGGUCUAUAGAAAAAAAAGUCGGCAAAAAAUUUGUGAAAAAGUAUGGCAGUUCAGUGGUGGAGGAAAAGACUGAAAACGGGUUCACCAAAGACAGGAAUUUGAGGAAAAAUCUGGGUUUUAGAAAAAGGAGGGAAAUGAGUAAUGGGCAUUCUUCGAUAAAGUCUAAGGAUAAGAAUACUGGAGUUGUUAAAUCUUUAGAAAGUACGAAGAUUGUUAAUCACAAAAAGGAUGUGAAGGCCAAGGAAGGUAUUAAUAAGCAGGUGGGAGGAGAAGACAAGAAGGAAAAAGGGUCAAAGAAAAAUAAGGUUGAUUCACCAGAAGUUCAAAUGAGAAUUGGAUUAGAUAUGUGCUCGAAGAGAGGGGAUGUUAUGGGUGCUAUUCAAUUCUAUGAUUUAGCUCAGAGAGAAGGAAUCAAAAUGGGGCAGUACCAUUAUACUGUGCUUUUGUAUCUUUGUUCUUCUGCGGCUGUUGGUGUUGUUCAACCUGCAAAAAGUGGGAGUGGUACACGGACUUUGAAUGCCUUGGAGUCACCUAGUGAAGUUUCCAUGGUGAACUCGACGGACUUGAGUAAGUCUAGUCACUUGGAUAACUGGGGUGAUAGGGAAUUGAAUGUGUCAGUUUCAGACAAUGGAUAUCUGAAUGGUAGUGGUAGGGUUCAUAGGACUGCUGACAAUGUUGAGUUAAAUUCUGCUACUUGUAUUGAUGACCAUGAUAGUAGUUUCAAUGAAAAGGAGAAAUUAGCCCGGUUUUCAAAUGGCUUUGUGAAGCGAAAUUCUCGCCUCUUAGAUGGACUCAGUAAUCCUAAUAAAUGUGAUGAUGAUUCUUCACAUGUAGAAGAUGGAAGCAAGAACCAAGAAAAUGAAAGAAUUCUGGUUGAUGAAGAUGUGAAGAAGUAUGCGCUUGAGAAAGGAUUUGAGAUCUAUGAAAAGAUGUGUUUGGAAAAGAUCCCAAUGAAUGAAGCGGCAUUAACUUCUGUGGCUAGAAUGGCUAUGUCAAUGGGUAAUGGUGAUAUGGCAUUUGAUAUGGUGAAGCAAAUGAAGUCACUGGGAAUAAAUCCUCGACUACGUUCCUAUGGUCCUGCAUUAUCUGCUUUUUGCAAUAGUAGAAAUGUUGAUAAGGCAUUUGCUGUUGAGAAACAUAUGCUAGAAAAUGGUGUCUAUCCAGAAGAGCCCGAACUGGAGGCCCUUUUAAGAGUGAGCGUAGGAGUUGGUAAGGGAGACAGGGUAUAUUAUUUGUUGCAUAAAUUAAGAACUCAUGUAAGGAAGGUCUCACUCUCAACUGCAAAUUUAAUUGCCAGUUGGUUUGAGAGCAAGGCAGCUUCAAGAGUGGGGAAAACAAAAUGGGAUCAGGGGUUAAUAAAGGAAGCAAUUGAGAAUGGAGGUGGUGGCUGGCAUGGACAGGGAUGGUUGGGAAGAGGAAAAUGGUCUGUGUUACUGACAACCAUUGGAGUGGAUGGGUUGUGCAAAUGCUGUGGGGAGAAAUUGGCCACUAUUGACCUUGAUCCAAAAGAAACAGAAGACUUUGCUGAAUCAGUUGCUUCUAUAGCUAUAAAAAGAGAGAAAAACUCAAGCUUUCAGAAAUUUCAAAAAUGGCUUGACUAUUAUGGACCUUUUGAAGCAGUGGUGGAUGCAGCUAAUAUAGGUCUUUUCAGCCAAAAAAGAUUCAUGCCAUCCAAGAUAAAUGCUGUUGUUAAUGCAAUACGACAAAAACUUCCUUCAAAGAAAUGGCCACUCAUUGUUUUGCAUAACAAGCGUAUUACUGGAAGAAGGAUGGAUGAACCCAUAAAUAGAGCAUUGGUUGAUAAGUGGAGAAAUGCGGAUGCACUCUAUGCAACACCAACUGGGUCAAAUGAUGAUUGGUACUGGUUAUAUGCAGCUAUAAAGUUCAAGUGCUUAAUUGUGACAAAUGAUGAAAUGAGAGAUCAUACAUUUCAGCUUCUUGGAAAUGAUUUCUUUCCCAAAUGGAAAGAAAGGCAUCAAGUGCAUUUCAGUUUUACUGAUGCUGGUCCUGUAUUUCAUAUGCCUCCUCCUUGUUCUGUUGUAAUUCAGGAAUCAGAGAAAGGCCAUUGGCAUAUUCCAAUAUUAUCAGAACAUGAUUAUGAAGCAGAAAGACCAUGGUUGUGUAUUACAAGAGCUAAAUCACGAGUUACGAGACAAAAAUCUGAAACUGGAGAUGAAGAUUUGCAACUUCUUCAUCAUAGCAAGGGAUUCGUAAGGCCAGCUACCAAAACUGAAGCAUCACAGCCAUUGAUCAACUACAAGCAUGAAAAUCAAGAAACCUACAAGAGUCUCAGGGAUAUUCUGUCGGAGUCCAUGAUCUUGGAUAAUCAUUCAAUCCUAUCAGACAUUGAGACCGCAGAGAUGCUUGGUGGAUGUACCAUUGAUUUUCAGAUUUAAAAAGUCAAUGGCUUUUUUGUUAAGACAUCCAGUAAAGCAGAAGGAUAAAGAACUCCCAGGUCCCAACUUUGAGUCUUCUUGUAUGGUUACAGCAAGUUGAUGGGGCUGGCUAGAGCUUUUUCCCUUCACACAUUUGUUAUGGGGGUAGGGUGGCCGGCCAAUGAGUGGAUUCCUUGUAUCGAGUGAACUUUGUACCUUCUCUGUUCUUUUAUGGGUAGACCGUCUUGGAUGCCACUCCUUGGGAAAGUGAAAAGGCAACAGAUCACAAGGUCACGGGGCUGAAACUGUGAUUUUGUCUUGUUGCACUUUCUAAUGCAUGAUGGAUUUACGUGGUUGGAGGAUCUCUCUAUGAUGGGUUUUUUGUUGUUUGGCUACCACGUACUGAAUGUAUCACGAGCCACCAGUCACCGACUUCGCUCUGUCUCUCUGUCUAACACUCAAAUCCAAACCCAGCUUACUCAGUGACAAAAAUUCAAAUUAUAUACAAAAAGGAGAGAAAAAAAACAGAGCUGGUAUAAAUAUAUAUAUAUAUAUAUAUAUAGAUAUUCUCCAUUUUCCACUUUAUCUCUUCCAAGUCUUCCA